rnacentral:rRNA from 1 species
UACGUAGGGUGCGAGCGUUGUCCGGAAUUAUUGGGCGUAAAGAGCUCGUAGGCGGUUUGUCGCGUCGACUGUGAAAACCCGAGGCUUAACCUCGGCCUGCAGUCGAUACGGGCAGACUAGAGUUCGGUAGGGGAGACUGGAAUUCCUGGUGUAGCGGUGAAAUGCGCAGAUAUCAGGAGGAACACCGGUGGCGAAGGCGGGUUCUCUGGGCCGUGAUACUGACGCUGAGGAGCGAAAGCGUGGGGAGCGAACAGG